rfam:Schistocephalus solidus strain NST_G2 genome assembly, scaffold: SSLN_scaffold0005770
UCAAAAGAUUUAUUCAAAUCUACCAAAAUCUUCUACCAAUAAUUAG